rnacentral:rRNA from 1 species
GACGAACACUGGCGGCGUGCCUAAUACAUGCAAGUAGAACGCUGAAGAGAGGAGCUUGCUCUUCUUGGAUGAGUUGCGAACGGGUGAGUAACGCGUAGGUAACCUGCCUUGUAGCGGGGGAUAACUAUUGGAAACGAUAGCUAAUACCGCAUAACAAUGGAUGACACAUGUCAUUUAUUUGAAAGGGGCAAUUGCUCCACUACAAGAUGGACCUGCGUUGUAUUAGCUAGUAGGUGAGGUAAUGGCUCACCUAGGCGACGAUACAUAGCCGACCUGAGAGGGUGAUCGGCCACACUGGGACUGAGACACGGCCCAGACUCCUACGGGAGGCAGCAGUAGGGAAUCUUCGGCAAUGGGGGCAACCCUGACCGAGCAACGCCGCGUGAGUGAAGAAGGUUUUCGGAUCGUAAAGCUCUGUUGUAAGUCAAGAACGGGUGUGAGAGUGGAAAGUUCACACUGUGACGGUAGCUUACCAGAAAGGGACGGCUAACUACGUG